CUUUUCAUAGGUUAUUUAAAACCGAGGGUUUGUGGUACCCUAGAUAUCUUUUUUUGAUAAGC
rnacentral:tRNA from 1 species